rnacentral:rRNA from 1 species
AUUGAACGCUAGCGGGAUGCCUUACACAUGCAAGUCGAGCGGAGCGGCGGACGGGCGAGUAAUGCCUAGGAAGCUGCCUGGUAGUGGGGGAUAACGUCCGGAAACGGGAGCUAAUAUCGCAUACUAUCAGAUGAGCGUAGGGCGGAUUAGCUAGUUGGGGGGGUAAAGGCCUACCAAGGCGACGAUCCGUAACUGGUCUGAGAGGAUGAUCAGUCACACUGGAACUGUUACGCGGUCCAGACUCCUCCGGGAGGCACCAGUGGGGAAUGUUGGACAAUUGGCGAAAGCCUGAUCCAGCCGUUCCGCGUGUGUGAAGAAGGUCUUCGGGUUGUAAAGCUCUUUAAGUUUUGAGGCGUUACCAACAGAAUAAGCCCCGGCUAACUUCGUGCCAGCCGCCGCGGUAAUAC